rnacentral:tRNA from 1 species
GGGAGUAUAGUUUAGUUGGUAAAACGUAUGUUUUGCAUGCAUAAAAUAUUGGUUCAAAUCCGAUUACUUCCA